rnacentral:rRNA from 1 species
UACGAAGGGGGCUAGCGUUGUUCGGAAUUACUGGGCGUAAAGGGCGCGUAGGCGGCCAUUCAAGUUAGGGGUGAAAGCCCUGGGCUCAACCUAGGAAUUGCACUUGAUACUGUUUGGCUUGAGUUCGGGAGAGGUGAGUGGAAUUCCCAGUGUAGAGGUGAAAUUCGUAGAUAUUGGGAAGAACACCAGUGGCGAAGGCGGCUCACUGGACCGACACUGACGCUGAGGCGCGAAAGCGUGGGGAGCAAACAGG